UACGUAGGGUGCAAGCGUUGUCCGGAAUUAUUGGGCGUAAAGAGCUCGUAGGCGGUUUGUCGCGUCUGCUGUGAAAACGCGAGGCUCAACCUCGCGCCUGCAGUGGGUACGGGCAGACUAGAGUGCGGUAGGGGAGAUUGGAAUUCCUGGUGUAGCGGUGGAAUGCGCAGAUAUCAGGAGGAACACCAAUGGCGAAGGCAGAUCUCUGGGCCGUAACUGACGCUGAGGGGCGAAAGCAUGGGGAGCGAACAGG
rnacentral:rRNA from 1 species